UAAACUAGGUAGCCCCUCAAGAAAGACGUCCGAAAAAUCCCUUACAGUGCGAAAAUCCUUUACAAUAGAGUCUCUAGAAGCCAAAACACCAACAUAGGCCAAGAACACCUCACAUCCCUCACGGACUAGUUUCUCAACCACUAGUGUAGUAAUCAUAUUCGAUAUAUAAUCCCGAUGCUCUCCAAUCAUGACCACCUCAUUAUCCUCCUUAGUUCUCAAAAUGACCCUCUUCGUCACACAAUCUAGACUUACU
rnacentral:lncRNA from 1 species